rnacentral:rRNA from 1 species
UGUAUGGGGAUCUGCCCGAUAGAGGGGGAUAACUACUGGAAACGGUGGCUAAUACCGCAUAAUGUCUACGGACCAAAGCAGGGGCUCUUCGGACCUUGCACUAUCGGAUGAGCCCAUAUGGGAUUAGCUAGUAGGUGGGGUAAAGGCUCACCUAGGCGACGAUCUCUAGCUGGUCUGAGAGGAUGAUCAGCCACACUGGGACUGAGACACGGCCCAG